rnacentral:rRNA from 1 species
AUACGGAGGAUCCGAGCGUUAUCCGGAUUUAUUGGGUUUAAAGGGUGCGCAGGCGGGAGAUUAAGUCGGCGGAGAAAUUUUGGAGCUCAACUGUAAAAAUGCCUUCGAAACUGGUUUUCUUGAGUGUAGAUGAAGUAGGCGGAAUUUGUGGUGUAGCGGUGGAAUGCAUAAAUAUCACGAGGAACUCCGAUUGCGCAGGCAGCUUACUAAACUACUACUGACGCUCAGGCACGAAGGCGUGGUGAUCAAACAGUAUUAGAUACCCUGGUAGUCCACGCAGUAAACGAUGAUUACUAGCUGUUUGCGAUACAAUGUAAGCGGCUGAGCGAAAGCGUUAAGUAAUCCACCUGGGGAGUACGUUCGCAAGAAUGAAACUCAAAUGAAUUGACGGGG